UCUCAUGGAUAAAGGAGACACAGUGGAUACAUAUUGACUCUAGUAAGGCUUUUGACAGGGUCCCACUUAACAUGCUCUAAAGUAAACUAAAGAAACAGAUACCUACACAGAGUCAUGAUACGGUGAACACACACUCACAUGGUUUGAUGUUAAACUGGAAAAGCAUUAAAAACAGGGCUCUGCAGAAAUCAUGUUUCUACUCAGGACUUUCAUUAACAACUUGAAUCAUGAAACAGACAUUUUCAAAGAACAUUGAGGCUAGGAGGGAUUACAAGCUCUUUGAGAUACAGGAUCAAAAUUCAGAAUCAUACUGAGAAACAGGACUACAGGCCCAAAAACGAACCAAGAAAACAUAGGUACUCAAAUACAAACACUUAGCCUUAGGAAAGGGAAAUUAAAAAAUAAAUUCUAAACUAGGGAAUGAAGAGAUGUGAUUGCUCUAAUGGAGGCAUGAUGAAUGAAAUUGUCAUAAUAUGAUGCUGUUACAAAACUAAGCAAAUCACAUGCGGUGCAGGGCUGACAGAAGUGUUGUAGGUAACAUAUGCAAGGUAAUUAUCCUUCCCUGCUCAGCCCUGGGAUGCCAACAUUGGCACUGAACGUUUUUGGGCACUGCACUUCCUGAAGCAUUGCCAAACUGGGAGGAAUCCAGAGGAGGGAAAUCAAAAAGAUAGGAGAUAAAGAAAACAGCCAGAAAACAAAAGUCCAUGGCUUCUGAGAAGAGAUUGAAGGAAAUGGCUUGCUUUGGUACAGAAAGAGACUAGAGGUACUCAAGAAUGCUGUGUGAUGUAUGCCUGAGGAUGAAAUAGAGCUGGACCCUGAGGCACAGUGACCUGCAAGUCUUAAAUGUGUCUGGUCAAUUUUUAAGAGAGGCAGAAGCAGCCAUAAGACAAUGAGGUAGCCUCUGCUACAGCUAGUUAAGCUCGCAUUUUCUUGAAGAUGAGUGGAGAUGUAAUCAACAGCCAGCAGCACGUUGUCCAGAGAACAUGAUCUGCUUAUCCUCUUCGUAUCAAAUAUCUACCCUAAGAAUGCUGAAACAGUGUUUUAGAAAUUCAUCUCUGACAUUCAGAUUUCUGUGGCCAAAAUGGACCUCUGUGCAUCAGUCAGGAGUAAUGCAACGCAAAGAGCAUCACACAGCAAUUUCUGCAGCUAGUGAAGAACUGGAUUAUAGCAUGUUUCAAAAAGAUAUCCUGGCUUGUUUUUCUCUCCAUUACAGAUUCUGUUCUAUUGCCUCAGUCCUUAUCUGUAGGUAUUUUGGCUUUUAGUAGUGCUUCAGUAUACCAAUAGAAAUAUCUUUCAUUGAAAUAUGUAUAUAUUGCUCCUCUUCUAAGUAAAAGAUAUAUUAAUUUUAUG